rnacentral:rRNA from 1 species
UGCGUAGGUGGUCGUUUAAGUCUGUCGUGAAAGCCCUGGGCUCAACCUGGGAAUUGCGAUGGAUACUGGGCGACUAGAGUGUGGUAGAGGAUAGUGGAAUUUCCGGUGUAGCAGUGAAAUGCGUAGAGAUCGGAAGGAACAUCUGUGGCGAAGGCGACUAUCUGGGCCAACACUGACACUGAGGACAAAGCUGGGGAGCAAACAG